GACGAACGCUGGCGGCGUGCUUAACACAUGCAAGUCGAACGAUGAACUUGGAGCUUGCUCUGGGGGAUUAGUGGCGAACGGGUGAGUAACACGUGAAUAACCUGCCCUGGACUCUGGGAUAACUUCGAGAAAUCGGAGCUAAUACCGGAUAGGACCUUGCACCGCAUGGUGUGGGGUGGAAAGUUUUUCGGUUUGGGAUGGACUCGCGGCCUAUCAGCUUGUUGGUGAGGUAAUGGCUCACCAAGGCGUCGACGGGUAGCCGGCCUGAGAGGGUGACCGGCCACACGGGGACUGAGACACGGCCCAGACUCCUACGGGAGGCAGCAGUGGGGAAUAUUGCACAAUGGGCGCAAGCCUGAUGCAGCAACGCCGCGUGCGGGAUGACGGCCUUCGGGUUGUAAACCGCUUUUAGUAGGGAAGAAGCCUUCGGGUGACGGUACCUGCAGAAAAAGGACCGGCUAACUACGUGCCAGCCGCCGCGGUAACAC
rnacentral:rRNA from 1 species